rnacentral:tRNA from 1 species
GCCUUGGUGGUUUAGUGGUAGAAUUCUUACCUUCCAUGUGGGAGACCUGGGUUCAGUUCCCAGCUAAUGUA